rnacentral:rRNA from 1 species
UACGUAGGGUGCAAGCGUUGUCCGGAAUUAUUGGGCGUAAAGAGCUCGUAGGCGGUUCGUCGCGUCGGCUGUGAAAACCCGGAGCUCAACUCCGGGCCUGCAGUCGAUACGGGCGGACUUGAGUGUUGCAGGGGAGACUGGAAUUCCUGGUGUAGCGGUGGAAUGCGCAGAUAUCAGGAGGAACACCGGUGGCGAAGGCGGGUCUCUGGGCCGUAACUGACGCUGAGGAGCGAAAGCGUGGGGAGCGAACAGG